GUAAAAUGGGAGGGGGCUUGUAACCGCCACCACCUGCAAAGAAGAGGGGAAAGUGGGAUCUUAUUAAAUGUUGAGGAUCACUUGAGAAGGGGGGUUUUCUUGACCUGGAGUCUGGAUUUGUUCUAACAAAAAGGGUGAGAGAUCUUGCUGGCUAUCGAGUUGAGCUUCUUCCUUUCAAUUUUAAGGGUUGCAGAAGAGUGAGGGAGAAGAGAGAUCGAGUUGAGGGGGAAAAGAAGACGAGAAAGAGUGAGAGAGGGGUCUUUGGAUCUGUAAUUCUCAGGAAGGAUUCUCUUUCAUGGGCAAGGUUUGAAAACCUGCGAUUUCAGAGGAGAAAUCCUCUCACUGGGGCGAUUUGGCAACUUUUCCUAGAUCUUGGCUACAAAGUAAGAAGCUGUGCUUGAUAGAGGGAGAUCAAUAGAGGGAGAAGGAGGGAGAGAGAGAGAGAGAGAAUACUAUGUGAAGUUCUUCACAACAGGGAGUCGACAUCGGGGAAGACGAUGUGAGAGAUGCUCUCGCUCGCUUUUGUUUCUUUUGAUCGAGCACGAAAGUUUGGAUUUUACAGGCGAUUUUACUACCAUUUUAAA